rnacentral:lncRNA from 1 species
CUACAAGGUGCGGAUUGAUGAGUACGAUCACUCCAAGCCCAUCCAGGGGCAACAGAAGAAGCCCUUUGAGGAGCACUGGAGGAAGCACACCCUGUCCUAUGUGGACGUCAGCACUGGGAAGGUCACUGUGGAAUAUAGACCCAUAAUCGACAAAACUUUGAAUGAGGCUGACUGUGCCACUGUCCCCCCAGCCAUUCACUCCUACUGAUGAGACAAGAUGCGGUGAUGACAGAAUCAGCUUUUAGACAGAGUUUUGCCAUGCUGCCCAGGCUGGAGUGCAGUGGUGUGAUCUCGGCUCACUGCAGCCUCCACCUCCUGGGCUCCAGCAGUCCUCCCACCUCAACCUCCCUAAGAGCUGAGACUACAGUGCACAGCCAGAGAACAACACAUCACACACAAGAAACAGUUGUGCUCAUGUGAUGGGGGCCUCAGCACUAGGAAGGAGUGGACUGUUGGCGCACGCAGCAGCUUGAAUAAAUCUGAAAGUCACUACGCUGCGUAAGAGAAGCCAAAUAAAGCGCAUGCUGUGUACAGAGGGUGUCGAGAAUGCCUCCUACGUGACGGAAAGCAGAUCCGUGGUUCCCUGCAGACUGGCAGGAGCAGAUUCCAAAGGCACAGGAAGAAGCUUGCAGGUAGAAUGUGUUCAUUACCUUCUGCGCAUUAUACCACAAAAAAGCUGGGAAUAAAAAUGCUAACCAAAAAAAAA